ACGGAAGGCAGCAGUGGGGAAUAUUGCACAAUGGGCGAAAGCCUGAUGCAGCGACGCCGCGUGAGCGAAGAAGUAUUUCGGUAUGUAAAGCUCUAUCAGCAGGGAAGAAGAAAUGACGGUACCUGACUAAGAAGCCCCGGCUAACUACGUGCCAGCAGCCGCGGUAAUACGUAGGGGGCAAGCGUUAUCCGGAUUUACUGGGUGUAAAGGGAGCGCAGGCGGCAGGGCAAGUCUGAUGUGAAAGCCCGGGGCUCAACCCCGGGACUGCAUUGGAAACUGCUCAGCUAGAGUGUCGGAGGGGUAAGUGGAAUUCCUAGUGUAGCGGUGAAAUGCGUAGAUAUUAGGAGGAACACCAGUGGCGAAGGCGGCUUACUGGACGACAACUGACGCUGAGGCUCGAAAGCGUGGGGAGCAAACAGGAUUAGAUACCCUGGUA
rnacentral:rRNA from 1 species